GAGAGAGAGAGAGAGAGAGAGAGAGAGCGAGAGAUAGGGGAUAAGCGAUUUGGAAGAUUGUUAGAAGAAAGGGGAGGAAAAAUGGUGUUCAACAGCUUACUGGUGGUGGGGGUGGCGAAUGUUUCAGCAGAUUUGUGCCAAUACAUAGCUUGCAACCCGGAACGCCUCAGCCGCGAUCAAGUUCUGUAUCUCCUCUUCUGCUUCCCCUGCCGCCAGCUCAGCCGCCUCGCUCUCUGUCUCUGGACCUUCUUCUGCUUCCCUUCUCCUGACCGUUAUCUCUCUUCCUCUUCCUCCUCGGGUUCCGACUCCGAUUCCGAUCUCGAGGAUUUGCACCCCCAUGUCCAUUGAUCUCCUAGGGUUCAAUGUUUGAUUGCCCCCAAAUACAGGAAAUAUCAUCUCCUCAGGGGGCAAUAGAAGAACAGUGGUCCAGGGUGGAGUGCUUAUUAACAGCUUUCUAGUAUUCAAGAACUCAAACCUGCAAAAUGAGUUUCAGUAUUUCAGAUUUACCACCCUGGUCCCAUUGUUGUUAGAAUUGUAUGUGCUUGUAAAUGAUGGUUUUAUUUCCUGUUUCAAUGUGUUGUGGUCUUCACAUGGAUCCCUUGUACAGUUACAGUGAAUCUGGAUGCUCUCUUGCCUGCUUUUGUACAUUUGAAUACUAAUUUGCUUUAAACCAUGUGAGUAAAUAUAUACCCACCUUUGUAAAACUUGGAAACUUAGGUCGAGUUGAUUGGGUUGUU